UGAUGGAUUUACAACGAGAAUCGUCUUGCAGUCACACUAGGAAUCGCUUCGCGUUCAUAAAAAUAUUUUUGCCAUCUGGUUUUAAACUUCUACAUAGUUUUGUAUUGAGGCAGCCACUGUGUGAAAGAGAAAAGAGCAAAUGAAAUCUAAGUUAGCCCAGACGUCUUCUGCUUUACACCUCCUUAUUGUUUGGCUGCAAGUUAUGGAAGAACUUAAACAGUUAAAAUGAAUAUAAAUGACAAGCAAGGUGGAAUUGUAUGUUAUGAUGAAUAACAAAGGAACUGCCUGGAAUGAAACGUCCGUUUUGUCCCACGAUGUCACCUCCUCAACAUUACAGAUUCCUGUUCUGUCCACCAGAAGCUGCGGUUGACACCCACAGGCCAUAGGGGGACCAAAUUUUACUCUCAAAAACCAUCCACUUGAAGGUUCGAAAGGCCACCCUUCAUUUGUUGCCAUUUUCACAGGUUCCAUAAAAACCUAUGAACGAAUGAUAACAGAUCUGGGAAACACCAAAAAGGCUCCUGAUUUGGAAAGGACAAUAAGUGGGCCUCUGUUCAGGAGUUCUUCAUCUGUCCCAUCGUCCUACAGUCUUAAAAAUCCCAGUUCUCCAACGGCAUUUUAUGGUCUUUGACUUGGUCCUGUGGUAGAACUCUGGCUUGACCGAGCACCAUUUCAUUCUGGGAAGGGUUCUGCACUGAUGGUGUUGGUACUUUGGACUUUGAAGAACUUUCUUAAUUGGAGAAAAAAAAACUGAAAUCCUUCAUGUCUGGUUUUGAAAUCACAAGCCAUUGCUAUUUCACAAAUCUGUUUGCUUCUGUUCAUGGUCAUUUACUUUAUGGAGUCUGUUUUGGGUCUAAAUAAAUACAUGCAGGUACUUUCUGGAA